rnacentral:rRNA from 1 species
CGGGGGAUCUUCGGACCUCGCGCCAUUAGAUGAGCCUAGGUCGGAUUAGCUAGUUGGUGAGGUAAUGGCUCACCAAGGCGACGAUCCGUAACUGGUCUGANAGGAUGAUCAGUCACACUGGAACUGAGACACGGUCCAGACUCCUACGGGAGGCAGCAGUGGGGAAUAUUGGACAAUGGGCGAAAGCCUGAUCCAGCCAUGCCGCGUGUGUGAAGAAGGUCUUCGGAUUGUAAAGCACUUUAAGUUGGGAGGAAGGGUAGUAACCUAAUACGUUGCUACUUUGACGUUACCGACAGAAUAAGCACCGGCUAACUUCGUG